rnacentral:lncRNA from 1 species
UCUUGGGCUAGGCCGAAAUAAUUGAUCCAAUCCAACUUCUUUUAUUAUGCCAUUGCCAUUACAACACAUCACACUACAAGCUAUCUUGGGCCUAGCCCAGUUCCAUUACAUUUUCAAAGCAACAUGGAAUAUUAUAGGAGCCCAAAAUAUCUUUACAUGCAUUCAUUCUAGCAGUACAUACCUUUACAUCCAACAACCAGUAAGUGCCAAACAAAACUAUUCUACAACAAAGAAAAGAAAAUAGAUGACAAGACAUCACAGAAGUUCCUAUUGUCCUCAUGCUUCAACAUUUGAAAACCUUCACCUGGCAGUAGAUCAAUCAUGAGUGAGAAACAAUACAAAAGCCAAAAAAUGUUCAGACGAUGCAAAAAAUAACAGUCAUUACACAUGGUAUUCGUAUACAGAUUGUAAGUCAUGGAUCCAUUACACAUAGUUUUUGUGUUGUGGACUAUCUUCAUGCAAUUGCUACUUGGUAAGGCAUUACAAUGCUCCAGGAAGUGUACCACACUACAGUCAACAGUCUACAGUAUGCACAGCUAGGAACUGUAAGUCACAUUGCAUAUGCACACUAGAAACUAAGUCAAACAUGCAUGCUACUAAUCCAUUGUCCUGUAGUUGUGUGAAACCCACCAGCAUUAGUAUUUAGUAGUACUCAACCAAUGACAGUAGAAAAAUGUACUACCUCAUCACCCAUUUUGCGCAGGUGCUUGAUGAAGUUCUGGAACUGGUUCUUGUACCCAGAGAUGUAGCUGCAAACAUGCAUGGAAGACGCACGCAAAAUUAGUUCACAUAUACUAAGAAAUUAACAGAAUAGUUUAUUUGACUAGUGCCAUCAAGUUACACCAAUUCAAGACAAGGAGAAGAAAGGAGCAUGACACGACAUAUUUAUGUAAGACGGUUGAUUAUUUAGAGAAGUUAAACUAAGUGCAGGUCACCCAAAACUGAAUUUCUUGCAAUCCAAACAACACAAACAGCAGGGAGAUGGUUGCAUAGAUACAAAUCCAUGUGGUAGCAGCAAAAUUGACCAAUCUCGACUGCAUCUUCUCUGUUUGGUACUAACUAAAUAAAAAAUUGGACUUGUUCAUACAAAUCCCUCUUAAAUUCCUUGACACAACCAUGAUUUGAAUAUAAUAUUCCUUAAUUUAGCGGCAUUAGUAAGCAGAAAAAGAGGGGGGGGGGAGAUGGGGAUGCUACCUGCCGUGGUGGGUCGUCGUGGCCGUGUUUGAUCUUGGGAGGACCUCUUGGCCGCACUAGGGGCAGAGGAGAAGGCCUCUCAUGCCCCUCCUCCUCGAGCAGAGCAGGGCCGAUGGCUAGGUGCACCCCUCAUCCUCAUCCUCCUUUAGCAGGGCAACAUCUGUUACAAUUUGUGUUAAAAUCUCCUAGGAGUUCAAAGGCUAGAAACAAUCGUCUAGUUAGAUUAUAAAAAAAAUAUCAAGUAAUACCAAAAGGAACAGAAACCUGGUCUUAGCAAGCAUAGUACGCUUCAGCAAACAUGCAAGCCAGCAAACAUAAAAGAUACGUACUAGACUUGGGUACACGAGAUCAGUUACUGGAAAAAUUACACCAGGUCAGAUUCUCGAAGAAAGGUGCAACCAACACCAUAUU